rnacentral:rRNA from 1 species
UACGAAGGGGGCUAGCGUUGCUCGGAUUGACUGGGCGUAAAGGGCGCGUAGGCGGUUUGCACAGUCAGACGUGAAAUUCCUGGGCUUAACCUGGGGGCUGCGUUUGAUACGUGCAGGCUUGAGUUCGGAAGAGGGUCGUGGAAUUCCCAGUGUAGAGGUGAAAUUCGUAGAUAUUGGGAAGAACACCGGUGGCGAAGGCGGCGACCUGGUCCGAUACUGACGCUGAGGCGCGAAAGCGUGGGUAGCAAACAGG